rnacentral:rRNA from 1 species
AUACGGAGGAUGCGAGCGUUAUCCGGAUUUAUUGGGUUUAAAGGGAGCGUAGGCGGGAGCUUAAGUCAGCGGUUAAAUGGUGCGGCUCAACCGUGCCCUGCCGUUGAAACUGGGUUUCUUGAGAGUGCAAGAGGCGGAUGGGAUUCAUGGGGGAGCGGGGGAAUGCUUAGAUAUCAUGAAGAACUCCGAUUGUGAAGGCAGUCCGCUGGGGCACGUCUGACGCUGAUGCUCGAAGGUGCGGGAAUCAAACAGGAUUAGAUACCCUGGUAGUCCGCACGGUAAACGAUGAUUACCCGCUGUCGGCGGUAGACAGUCGGCGGCCAAGCGAAAGCGAUAAGUAAUCCACCUGGGGAGUACGCCGGCAACGGUGAAACUCAAAUGAAUUGACGGGG